rnacentral:rRNA from 1 species
GUGGGGAAUUUUGGACAAUGGGCGCAAGCCUGAUCCAGCAAUGCCGCGUGCAGGAAGAAGGCCUUCGGGUUGUAAACUGCUUUUGUACGGAACGAAACGGUCCUGGCUAAUAUCCGGGGCUAAUGACGGUACCGUAAGAAUAAGCACCGGCUAACUACGUGCCAGCAGCCGCGGUAAUACGUAGGGUGCGAGCGUUAAUCGGAAUUACUGGGCGUAAAGCGUGCGCAGGCGGUGCUGUAAGACAGGCGUGAAAUCCCCGGGCUCAACCUGGGAAUUGCGCUUGUGACUGCAGUGCUGGAGUGCGGCAGAGGGGGAUGGAAUUACGCGUGUAGCAGUGAAAUGCGUAGAUAUGCGGAGGAACACCGAUGGCGAAGGCAAUCCCCUGGGCCUGCACUGACGCUCAUGCACGAAAGCGUGGGGAGCAAACAGGAUUAGAUACCCCGGUAGUCC